UGAGGUCAGUGAUGAAUUGAAAUUGCCUACAUUGUCUGAUUAUCUGGUUUUAGAUUAUGAUGUGUUUCAAUAGUCUGAGACCUCU